rnacentral:rRNA from 1 species
CCUACGUUGAGCAGCAGUGAGGAAUAUUGGUCAAUGGACGCAAGUCUGAACCAGCCAUGCCGCGUGCAGGAAGAAGGUGCUAUGCAUUUUAAACUGCUUUUAUACGGGGGUAAUUACAGAUUCGUGUAUCUGUCUGACAGUACCGUAUGAAAAAGGAUCGGCUAACUCCGUGCCAGCAGCCUCGGUAAUACGGAUGAUCCGAGCGUUAUCCGGAUUUAUUUUGUUUAAAGGGGUCGUAGGCGGGAAGGUAAGUUAGAGGUGAAAGGUCGAUGAUCAACAUCGAAACGGCCUUUGAUACUGGCUGACUAGAGUGUAGUUGAGGAAGGCGGAAUGUGUGGUGUAGCGGUGAAAUGCUUAGAUAGCGCACAGAACACCGAUUGCGAAGGCAGCUUUCCAAGCUAUUACUGACGCUGAGGCACGAAAGCGUGGGGAUCGAACAGGAUUAGAUACCCGAGUAGUC